rnacentral:rRNA from 1 species
AUUGAACGCUGGCGGCAUGCCUUACACAUGCAAGUCGAACGGCAGCACGGGAGCAAUCCUGGUGGCGAGUGGCGAACGGGUGAGUAAUAUAUCGGAACGUGCCCGGUCGUGGGGAUAACGUAGCGAAAGCUACGCUAAUACCGCAUACGAUCUACGGAUGAAAGCGGGGGAUCGCAAGACCUCGCGCGAUUGGAGCGGCCGAUAUCAGAUUAGGUAGUUGGUGAGGUAAAGGCUCACCAAGCCGACGAUCUGUAGCUGGUCUGAGAGGACGACCAGCCACACUGGGACUGAGACACGGCCCAGACUCCUACGGGAGGCAGCAGUGGGGAAUUUUGGACAAUGGGCGCAAGCCUGAUCCAGCAAUGCCGCGUGCAGGAUGAAGGCCUGGUUGUAACUAGCUUUGUACGGUAACGAAAGGUUACGUAUAAUACUAGGAGACUCAUGUACGGUACCGU